UGGUUCCUAGUCGGAUUCGUUAACCACUGCGCCACGACGGGAACUCCAUAGUUGAAUUCUUAAUCUGCUGAGCCACAACGGGAACUCCUGUACAAUGUAUUCUUGAUCACAUGUAUUAGGACUGGUCAUAGCAAUGCUUAGGAGUAAUAUAUAGUAAAAUCCUAACACAAUGUCACUUUGGUUUUGGAAUACACCAAUUUUCUUUCUUGUAGCUGACGACCCUUCCAACAAUAAAGUAACUGUGCGACCCCACACACCAAACCACCCAGGUGUGGGAGAAGCUGUGUGUAGCUGUCCUAGGUGAGAGGUGUCAAAAUACAUUUCCCUUCUCAUAUUUAAAGAUGUCAUGGUGGAUGCCAUGGUGUGCCAUCCAGAAAACCCUCUUCAGGAUGGAAGCACUCAACCCCGUGGUCUUCCGUCCUGUCCAAGGGAAUUUUGGUGGCUAACAUUUCUGAGACCCCUCUAGGAACUGCCCUCAGCUGAGAAAGCAUCUAAGGUAGUUCCCUAUCCUGCAACAGCCUGAGUUCACUGGCCAGUAUGGGAGUAUAACGGUCUGAUUCCCUUGCCUCUACUGGGGACAACUCUGAAGGGUCGCCUCAGCUCCAGCGCCCCUUCUGUCCAGUCCUGUGGCCUUUGCUUUCUCACAGGUGUCAGCGAUGCUGCGAGCACACCCUAAUAAACCUCCUUUACUCAAAUCUCCACCUCAGGGUAUGUUUCCCGGGGAACCCAACCUGGCAAUAGCUGGUGCCAAGAGUACUGAGGAAGCAGAUUCUAAAAGGUGAUUUUAAAGGCAAAUCACUUGUGGCCAACUGGCAAUGAGGACCUCAUCACUGGUGGAUGAUGCAGAUGCCUCUGCUUUGCAAGGCAGUGCACGCUCCCUUCAAGAUUCGUUCCCACUCCUGACCUCCAGAUCACUAACUAGGAUUAAGUGCAUCAGAACCCAGGACUUAUUCAGAUGAGGACCCCCAGAGAUGCUGCCAACAUUCUCGCAGGAUGGCUCUUGGAAACUCGGAGAAAACCAUGUCCACAUCAAGUGAAGUAGAAAUGCCAGAACUGCCUUGGUAUGUGAUGGAAGAAAGGCUCAAAAAAGUGGGCCUGUUAGAGUGAAUAUGCCGGCUUUAUAUGCUAUGUGAAGCCAGAAAAGUCACCAAAUGAUUAUGUUCUAUUAGAGGGCCCAAGGGAUAUUCUAUUUACUGAAGUGAGAAUAUGCUGGUGAGACGAGCACCAGUUUCAUUGAGAAACUCAGAGAUGACCUUGCUCUGUGGGCAGGACCGCACUGACAGAACUGGGCUCAGAGUAAGGGGGACGACAGCGCUAAAGCGGGCAUCAAUGUGGCUAAAUUAUUGUACUGAGCAGAAAUAUUAGGCAGCUGGGUUCUGACUGGAUCAUUAAUGAAACAGCAUUCUUGGGAGCAAGAUAGGUGGCACUCAAGAAUAUUGCCCAUCUGUACAAUUAAAAGUAAUCAAGAAUGAUCUGGAGACUGAGGGCAGCCACUAUGAUAAAUGUUCUAAUUCUGAAGUUCCCGUCAUGGCUCAUCAGUAAUGAACCUGACUAGGAUCCAUGAGGACGUGGGUUUGAUCCCUGG